GAAAUGCGAUAAGUAGUGUGAAUUGCAGAUACCGUGAAUCAUCAAAUCUUUGAACGCAUAUUGCACUGUCUGGAACUCCGGACAGUAUACCUGUUUGAGUAUCAGUUAACACUCUCCUGCCUCCUACAGUGUGUGGGUGGUAGUGAGGACUUGAGUCGUCAUCCGCUGUCGCCAGUGGACGUGACUUGAAAUGCAGUUGCUGGUGUAGUCGGCAUAUGACUGGCGCUACUAGCUGACAGAGUUAAUGGGCACGUGUGCCUGUGACUGUCUGGCGAGUGCGUCGUCAACUGACUAUGACAAUCGGCAAAACCAUCACCAUACAGUAGCACACCCACGUGGCCGGCUGUGAUCUUGAUCUCAAAUCAGGUAAGACUACCCGCUGAACUUAA
rnacentral:misc_RNA from 1 species